GAAGCCAACCAGAUGAUCGCGGGGGUAUGGACCGAAAGGUCGCCUCUGAGGAAAGUCCGAGCUCCAUAGGGCAAGGUGCUGGGUAACGCCCAGUGGGGGGAACCCCAAGGAAAGUGCAACAGAGAGAUACCGCCGAUAACGGAGGUCAGUUGCCAGAGGCCAGAGGUUAGAAUAAGUUUGUUCUAAUCCGACUUCCGGCUUCUGACGACUGAUCUCCGAGUAGGUAAGGGUGGAAAGGUGAGGUAAGAGCUCACCGGCAGUCAGGUGACUGGCUGGCCAUGUAAACCCCGCCUGGAGCAAGACUGAAUAGGGGAACUAUGAACGGCCCGUUUUUGUUCCCGGGUAAGGUCGCUAGAGGCCGUCGGUAACGGCGGUUCGAGAUAGAUGAUCAUCACCUCCGUAAGGAGGGACAGAACUCGGCUUAUAGGUUGGCUUCGCAC
rnacentral:RNase_P_RNA from 2 species